rnacentral:misc_RNA from 1 species
GAUGAAGAACGUAGCGAAAUGCGAUAAGUAAUGUGAAUUGCAGAAUUCAGUGAAUCAUCGAAUCUUUGAACGCACCUUGCGCCCUUUGGCCAUUCCGAAGGGCAUGCCUGUUUGAGUAUCAUGAACACCUCAACUCUUUAUGGUUUUCCAUGAUGAGCUUGGACUCUGGGGGUUUUGCUGGCUCACAGUCGGCUCCUCUAAAAUGAAUCAGCUUACCAGUGUUUGGUGGGUAUCAUGGGUGUGAUAACUAUCUACGCUUGUGGUUUUUCCACCAGGUAACCUUCAGCAGUGGAGGUUCGCUGGAGCUCAUAGAUGUCUCUCCUCAGUGAGGACAGCCCUUUGAAUGUUUGAUCUCAAAUCAGGUAGGAGUACCCGCUGAACUUAAGCAUAUCAAUAAGCGGAGGA